AGCGGAUGAGAAGAGCUUGCUCUUCGAUUCAGCGGCGGACGGGUGAGUAAUGCCUAGGAAUCUGCCUGGUAGUGGGGGACAACGUUUCGAAAGGAACGCUAAUACCGCAUACGUCCUACGGGAGAAAGCAGGGGACCUUCGGGCCUUGCGCUAUCAGAUGAGCCUAGGUCGGAUUAGCUAGUUGGUGAGGUAAUGGCUCACCAAGGCGACGAUCCGUAACUGGUCUGAGAGGAUGAUCAGUCACACUGGAACUGAGACACGGUCCAGACUCCUACGGGAGGCAGCAGUGGGGAAUAUUGGACAAUGGGCGAAAGCCUGAUCCAGCCAUGCCGCGUGUGUGAAGAAGGUCUUCGGAUUGUAAAGCACUUUAAGUUGGGAGGAAGGGCAGUGAGCGAAUACCUUACUGUUUUGACGUUACCGACAGAAUAAGCACCGGCUAACUCUGUGCCAGCAGCCGCGGUAAUACAGAGGGUGCAAGCGUUAAUCGGAAUUACUGGGCGUAAAGCGCGCGUAGGUGGUUUGUUAAGUUGAAUGUGAAAGCCCCGGGCUCAACCUGGGAACUGCAUCCAAAACUGGCAAGCUAGAGUACAGUAGAGGGUGGUGGAAUUUCCUGUGUAGCGGUGAAAUGCGUAGAUAUAGGAAGGAACACCAGUGGCGAAGGCGACCACCUGGACUGAUACUGACACUGAGGUGCGAAAGCGUGGGGAGCAAACAGGAUUAGAUACCCUGGUAGUCCACGCCGUAAACGAUGUCAACUAGCCGUUGGAAUCCUUGAGAUUUUAGUGGCGCAGCUAACGCAUUAAGUUGACCGCCUGGGGAGUACGGCCGCAAGGUUAAAACUCAAAUGAAUUGACGGGGGCCCGCACAAGCGGUGGAGCAUGUGGUUUAAUUCGAUGCAACGCGAAGAACCUUACCUACUCUUGACAUCCAGCGAACUUUCCAGAGAUGGAUUGGUGCCUUCGGGAACGCUGAGACAGGUGCUGCAUGGCUGUCGUCAGCUCGUGUUGUGAAAUGUU
rnacentral:rRNA from 1 species